rnacentral:rRNA from 1 species
CAGCAGCGCGGGAAUACGUAGGUGGCAAGCGUUAUCCGGAAUUAUUGGGCGUAAAGCGCGCGUAGGCGGUUUUUUAAGUCUGAUGUGAAAGCCCACGGCUCAACCGUGGAGGGUCAUUGGAAACUGGAAAACUUGAGUGCAGAAGAGGAAAGUGGAAUUCCAUGUGUAGCGGUGAAAUGCGCAGAGAUAUGGAGGAACACCAGUGGCGAAGGCGACUUUCUGGUCUGUAACUGACGCUGAUGUGCGAAAGCGUGGGGAUCAAACAGGAUUAGAUACCCCUGUAGUCCCUGUCUCUUAUACA